rnacentral:rRNA from 1 species
GCAGUAGCCGCGGGAAUACGGAGGGUGCAAGCGUUAAUCGGAAUUACUGGGCGUAAAGCGCACGCAGGCGGUCUGUCAAGUCGGAUGUGAAAUCCCCGGGCUCAACCUGGGAACUGCAUUCGAAACUGGCAGGCUAGAGUCUUGUAGAGGGGGGUAGAAUUCCAGGUGUAGCGGUGAAAUGCGUAGAGAUCUGUAGGAAUACCGGUGGCGAAGGCGGCCCCCUGGACAAAGACUGACGCUCAGGUGCGAAAGCGUGGGGAGCAAACAGGAUUAGAUACCCCGGUAGUCCCUGUCUCUUAUAA